GAUGAACGCUAGCGGCAGGCUUAAUACAUGCAAGUCGUGGGGCAGCGCAGUGUAGCAAUACAUGGGCGGCGACCGGCAAACGGGUGCGUAACACGUACGCAACCUUCCCGUUACUGGGGAAUAGCCCAGGGAAACUUGGAUUAAUACCCCAUAUUAUAUUGAUUGGGCAUCUAAUUAAUAUCAAAGCUUCGGCGGUAACGGAUGGGCGUGCGGUUGAUUAGGUAGUUGGCGGGGUAACGGCCCACCAAGCCUACGAUCAAUAGCUGAUGUGAGAGCAUGAUCAGCCACACGGGCACUGAGACACGGGCCUGACUCCUACGGGAGGCAGCAGUAAGGAAUAUUGGGCAAUGGACGAAAGUCUGACCCAGCCAUGCCGCGUGGAGGAUGAAGGUCCUCUGGAUUGUAAACUUCUUUUUUCUGGGGCGAAAACCGGUUUUCUAAACCAUUUGACAGUACCAGAAGAAUAAGCACCGGCUAACUCCGUGCCAGCAGCCGCGGUAAAAC
rnacentral:rRNA from 1 species